ensembl:lncRNA
GGAAAGAUGACGUCUUAAUAUAUAGUGAAUAUUUACAAAUAAAUUAAUUAAAAGAAUCAGUUAAUAUUACUGGACGUUGUGUGUCUAUCUGGACAAAACUGAGCGUUUGUUAUUCACUGUAAAAUAAAGUAUACAAAAUUUGUGUAUUUCAGUGUGUUUCUUCCAAUCAUUAUGAAUCUACUAUUUACAUGCCAUUAAUAGGCUAUAUGUUUAAAAAUUUAGAUCUCAUAAUAAUUUUAAUUUGUCUAAUAAUAUAAUCUUUGAGGCACUACUUGUUUUAUUUUUGUGAGUAACAUUAACGGUGCCACUUGUAAGUAGUACGCUAAUUACAAAAAAAAAUUAACGGAUGCACUUAUUAAAUUUUUUUGCGUAUUGUUCGGCAACUCUCAGCGGUGACACUAAGCAUUAAUCUUUCGAUAUUAAAAAGUUGUCCAGAAAGUAAGUUUACACGGCCAUUGUCCAGGCUGGCACAAUCCCCGUUUCCCACUCCCGUCUCAUAAGAAAAUUCUGCAAAGGAGAAGAAAAAAUAAUAAAGCUGUGGUAUUCGGAUUAUCGUGGACGAGGAUAAAGCAUUAAAUGGGGCUAAAGGGGCCUGAAUAGACGCAGUGGCGUGCGAAGAGAAGCAGAGUAAUUAUUGCUUCAUAAUUGUGUUCUUUUUCUUUUUUCAGACAGCAUCACGCUGCAGAGCCCCACUUGGAGCGGUUGUGACAUUUAGGAGGCCGGUCUUUGUGCUCAACACUUCAAGUUUAAAAAACAAGGCCAAUUGAGUCGGCGCAGCUCAAAGCCCCAACCAUUGUGAGGGACCACAUUGAGUUUGGAUUUGGGACAAUGGUGUUUCUCAAAUUUCUUGCAAAAACCUAUACUCCAUCUGUGAUCUCAAUGAGCGCUCUUUCAUUGGGUUCCUGCUUUUCUGUUUGAUUCGUUUGUAAAGGGAGGCAGAUGUGGAAGGAUGGAGGCCGCAUUUUAAUUGGCUGCUGCCUGAACACACACUCGCAUCAUUUCAUCUGUCAUCGGCGCUGUGCAUCCUUAGUGUUAAAAGGGAAUGCCAUUGCUGCGCUCAAGGGUCCUGCGCGGCGCGGCAGCUUUUCAUGUGAACAAGAGGUUAACAACCUAAUGAGGACUUGGAGAAGAGAUGAAGCGUGUAAAUACACUGGUUUUUUUUAACCCGCGCUCGGCACCCUCAUUCCCCUUUUUAUCUGCUACUCUAACCUCUGCUGCGCUCUGCGCACUCAAACCAUUCCAGCAGGAGUUCCGCAGGGAGGCAGUUCGGGUCCAGCCGCUCUCCGGCCGGGUAUCAGCGGAGAGAAAGAUCCUUACAAUAGCGCUCCGGGGUGCUGGAGGAACAGAGACAUGCUGUUACAUAUGUCGGGUCAAGCAUCUCUUUUGUGCUGCUUUAAAAAGGUGUAAAACUCAGUCAGCGGUGGAGAUUCUAAAGGGAGUGAAAGCCUUGUAUGGGUUUUUGAUGCAUAGGUCUGAUGAACUGUUGAAAGAUUGUUGAAUUUCCUAAGUGCCCACAGUCAGUUUUAAUUGCCCGGGGGCAUUUAAUUGGAAUUCACAGAGACGCCCAUUCAAUGGAGAGAUUUUCCUUUUCAAGUAAAGUGUGGCCGGAUUCAUUAUUUAAACUUCAUAAAAUAUAUAGGUUCUGCAUGAACUUAAUUAGUAAAUGUAUCCUUAUACUCUUAAAAUAAAAGAUUUUAGCGAUUCUUGGUAUCGGAGUAGAAGCUUUUUCUUUUCAAAGUUUGCACUGUGGAUGUUCUGAGAAUUAACAAGUUUUUAAUGUUUACACAGACCAGGGCAAAUUGGCUUCUGCGUUCAUUAAAGUUUUCUCGAACGGAUAGAAGGUAAUUGUGAAAACCGAGUUUGUCGAUCUUUAAAAUCAUGUUUAAAAUGUAUUUGAUAUUCUGCAUUCUAUACUAAAUGUAUUUGUAAUGAGUAGCCUAGGUAGGUUGUAAAAAAUAAUAUCUAAGUCGUUUACUUUGAGUUAGUUGCAUUCCGAAAGUUUUGACUAUAUGGCUAUCAUCGACAGAACAGCUUACAGAAAACCGGCUUAGUUUUCAUAUCUGUCAAAAGAUCACAGUUGUUCAGAGCUGUGCUUUCAUCAUCUCUCAGUUUAUGAACAAUCAACGCCUGCUUGCGGUUUUGCAAUGAUCUCGGGAUGUCUAUUUUCAGUCGCGUGAGAUCGCUGCCGAGAUAAUGACUUGGAAUGUCAAAAAGCUUUAGUUUAAUAUCGUCUCUAUUAG